AUUGAACGCUGGCGGCAUGCUUUACACAUGCAAGUCGAACGGCAGCGCGGGGGCAACCCUGGCGGCGAGUGGCGAACGGGUGAGUAAUACUUCGGAACGUGCCCAGUAGCGGGGGAUAACGCAGCGAAAGUUGUGCUAAUACCGCAUAUUCUCUACGGAGGAAAGAGGGGGAUCGCAAGACCUCUCACUAUUGGAGCGGCCGAAGCCUGAUUAGCUAGUUGGUGAGGUAAAAGCUCACCAAGGCGACGAUCAGUAGCUGGUUUGAGAGAACGACCAGCCACACUGGGACUGAGACACGGCCCAGACUCCUACGGGAGGCAGCAGUGGGGAAUUUUGGACAAUGGGGGCAACCCUGAUCCAGCCAUGCCGCGUGCGGGAAGAAGGCCUUGGGUUGUAACGCUUGUUCGGUAGAAAGUACGUCCUCGUUAAUACCGGGGCGGACGUGACGGUACCGGAACGAAGUAAGACACCGGCUAACUACGU
rnacentral:rRNA from 1 species